rnacentral:rRNA from 1 species
CGAACGCUGGCGGCAGGCCUAAUACAUGCAAGUCGAACGGCUCUUCGGAGCAGUGGCGGACGGGUGAGUAACGCGUGGGAAUGUGCCCUUUGGUACGGAACAACACAGGGAAACUUGUGCUAAUACCGUAUGUGCCCUUCGGGGAAAAGAUUUAUCGCCAUUGGAGCAGCCCGCGUUGGAUUAGGUAGUUGGUGAGGUAAAGGCUCACCAAGCCUACGAUCCAUAGCUGGUCUGAGAGGAUGAUCAGCCACACUGGGACUGAGACACGGCCCAGACUCCUACGGGAGGCAGCAGUAGGGAAUCUUGCGCAAUGGGCGAAAGCCUGACGCAGCCAUGCCGCGUGAAUGAUGAAGGUCUUAGGAUUGUAAAAUUCUUUCACAGGGGAAGAUAAUGACGGUACCCGGAGAAGAAGCCCCGGCUAACUUCGUGCCAGCCGCCGCUGUAAAAC